rnacentral:rRNA from 1 species
UACGUAGGGUGCAAGCGUUGUUCGGAUUCAUUGGGCGUAAAGGGUGCGUAGGCGGCGCGGUAAGUCGGGUGUGAAAUCUCGGGGCUUAACCCGGAAAGGUCAGCCGAUACUGCGGGGCUAGAGUGCAGAAGGGGCAACUGGAAUUCUCGGUGUAGCGGGGAAAUGCGUAGAUAUCGAGAGGAACACCUGCGGCGAAGGCGGGGUGCGGGGCUGACACUGACGCUGAGGCGCGAAAGCUAGGGGAGCGAACGGG